AUGGAGAGUUUGAUCCUGGCUCAGGACGAACGCUGGCGGCGUGCCUAAUACAUGCAAGUCGAGCGAAUCUUGAGGUGCUUGCACCUCUUGGUUAGCGGCGGACGGGUGAGUAACACGUGGGCAACCUGCCUGUAAGACUGGGAUAACAUCGGGAAACCGAUGCUAAUACCGGAUAAUCCUUUUCCUCUCAUGAGGRAAAGCUGAAAGUCGGCUUCUCGCUGACACUUACAGAUGGGCCCGCGGCGCAUUAGCUAGUUGGUGAGGUAACGGCUCACCAAGGCGACGAUGCGUAGCCGACCUGAGAGGGUGAUCGGCCACACUGGGACUGAGACACGGCCCAGACUCCUACGGGAGGCAGCAGUAGGGAAUCUUCCGCAAUGGACGAAAGUCUGACGGAGCAACGCCGCGUGAACGAUGAAGGCCUUCGGGUCGUAAAGUUCUGUUGUUAGGGAAGAACAAGUAUCGGAGUAACUGCCGGUACCU
rnacentral:rRNA from 1 species